GGUACGCGAGGAACCUUACCAGGGACUUGACAUACGUUGGAAGCGCAUCGAAAGGUGACGUGCCGCUUGCGGCCGGCGUACAGGUGCUGCAUGGCUGUCGUCAGCUCGUGCUGUGAAGUGUUGGGUUAAGUCCCGGCAACCGAGCGCAACCCCUGCCUGCCUGUUGCCACCACGAGAGGUGGGGACUCAGGCGGGACCGCCGGUGACAAACCGGAGGAAGGUGGGGACGACGUCAAGUCAUCAUGGCCCUUAUGUCCUGGGCUACACACGUGCUACAAUGGUCGGUACAGAGCGCAGCGAGGCCGCGAGGCGGAGCGAAUCGCUUAAAGCCGGUCCCAGUACGGAUUGGAGUCUGCAACCCGACUCCAUGAAGUUGGAAUCGCUAGUAAUCGCGCAUCAGCAUGGCGCGGUGAAUACGUUCCCGGGCCUU
rnacentral:rRNA from 1 species